rnacentral:rRNA from 1 species
AUUGAACGCUGGCGGCAGGCCUAACACAUGCAAGUCGAGCGGAUGAAGGGAGCUUGCUCCUGGAUUCAGCGGCGGACGGGUGAGUAAUGCCUAGGAAUCUGCCUGGUAGUGGGGGAUAACGUCCGGAAACGGGCGCUAAUACCGCAUACGUCCUGAGGGAGAAAGUGGGGGAUCUUCGGACCUCACGCUAUCAGAUGAGCCUAGGUCGUAUUAGCUAGUUGGUGGGGUAAAGGCGUACCAAGGCGACGAUCCGUAACUGGUCUGAGAGGAUGAUCAGUCACACUGGAACUGAGACACGGUCCAGACUCCUACGGGAGGCAGCAGUGGGGAAUAUUGGACAAUGGGCGAAAGCCUGAUCCAGCCAUGCCGCGUGUGUGAAGAAGGUCUUCGGAUUGUAAAGCACUUUAAGUUGGGAGGAAGGGCAGUAAGUUAAUACCUUGCUGUUUUGACGUUACCAACAGAAUAAGCACCGGCUAACUUCGUG